rnacentral:lncRNA from 1 species
AAUCACCUCCAGUGGGGCACACAUCGUCAAGCGUCGUUAGUGGGUGUGGUUAUUGAAGCAAACCUAAAAGGAGAACUAAACCUAAAGAUAGAAACUGAGUCAGUAUGUGUGACAACACACUUUAAGGAUCUUGAAAACCCUCUACUACCUUCUGACAGUGUCUCUCAAAACAGACACCCAGAAGACAUGGCCAAGGUGCACAUCGACAUAAGGAAACUCCUCCAGUUGCUUGCUGGACAGCAAGUGGCUCCCACCAAGGCGGUGUGCAAUAUCGUCAAUAACAGAACUAUUCACUUUGAUCUGCUCCUGGAAGACGUCUCCCUUCAGUAUUUCAUCCCAGCCUUGUCCUAGCACCAUCUCAGCUGACCCAGGAGGACAGAGGACUUUGUCGUGAUGAGAGAAGCACUGGACGAUAUGGUCAGUCAGCUGCCUGUCCUCACAGUACCACACAUUUGAACUGGGCUUAUUUCUCUCCCUAUGCUGCUUUAAACACAAAUGGAAGUCGUGAAGCACAGUCGGAUAGUCAUUCCUUCAUAUGACUCAGUACCAACCCCUUCGCCCUUUAAGCCAUUAAGAAGAAAAGAGAAUUUAUUUUUUGU